GUGGUUGUAGCUCAAAAGUAGAGCGUCCGCCUGUGAAGCGGAAAGCAACGGGAGCGUUACCCGUCAACCACC
rnacentral:tRNA from 1 species